GCUGGUGCAGGUGUGAGCUGAGCAGGUGAUGUGCUCAGGGGAAAUACAAUACCUCAGCCCCUGACCUUCCUGAAGCUGAAGUUUGGAAGAGCCUUGCUGAUGGUGAUUCAGAUUCAUCCUGAAGGAUCUACUGCUGUUUGAUGGGAAUUCAUCCAAACACACUGUGUCACUUCACGAGGAGCAUAGGACAGCCUGGGACUCUUGUUUCUCCUCUUCUUUGAGGAUGAAGAGUUGGAAAUUUUAAAUGGACACACCACAAGCAGUAUAGUCAAGAGGAAGAUUAGGAGUUUUGGCAGGUUUUGAAUCUUUGAAGAAUCAGACCCCAAGGAUGGUGAUCUCGAUAUUAAGGCCUGUGUUUAUAAGAGUGAUUGCUUUGCCAUGUUCUCCUUGAGGACCUGGCUGAGCAUCCAGAGAGGGCACAUAUGUUGUCACCUCCACUGAGGCAGGCUGGUUCAUGCUACCAGAUGUGUUUUGUUGCUUUGAGCUCCUCUGUGUGCUGUGCAUUACCAGCACUUGUAGGAACAAUAGGAGAUUUUGCUGCUUCUGUUGCAUCCUCAGUUUUCCUUGUCCUUUACUCUCCUCCUGUACUUGGACACAGGAAUAGUUCUCAGUCAUGCUGGUGGGUUUGCUUCAGCCCUCAUGUAUUGGUGCUUCCCUCCUUUGUCCUUGCUAUGGCUGGCACAGCUGAGGCUGUGGGCUCUGCUUGCUGGCAGGGAGGUGGCAGCUCAUUGACAGUGCCACCACCAGGGUGACUUUGGCCUUAGAGUUUCUCUGUGUCUUUGCAGCUUUCUGAGUAAGGAGGUCUGUCAGCCUGAGGGUUCAUUUGCACAAACACCAUGGGUGGGAAAUCUAACACUGUGUUGGGCCAUGUUUAUUUUAAGUGUCAGGGCUGCUGAGAGCUCUGUCAGCCAAGGCAGUCCCCCAAGCCAUGGGAGCACCAGAGCUCUCCAGGCUGGACAUGGUGGAAGUUUUCCUGGUUUGACUGGGAGCACUGUGGUGCUGCUUGGCAGCCCAAACAAUGGCAAAAAUUAUUUUUUUAUCUUCUUGUCUUAAACAGUGAAUGAAGUUUAGUGAUGGGAGGAGGACAGAACAACACAGCUCAGGGAAGAGAUGUCUUCCCAGAGGGCUCUCACAGCACACAAAAGGGUUUUUUAACCCUGUGGUGCCUCUGGCCAGGGUGUCUCAGGCUUGCACAGAAAGCAGUAGUUUCCUGUGUGGCUGCAGAGCAUUGUGCUGGGGCUGGUCCAUCCUUGCUGUGGGGUGGGAGAAAGGGUGAGCAAUUUUAUUUAUUUUUUUACACAUUUUUAAACUGGUGCCCUGUUUCUCUCACUCCUGUGUUGAUGGACACUGCUGUUGUCCAUCCCAAGGAUGGCUCCAGGAGCGGGCUGAGUGAAGGCUGGGGUGCUGUACCCCUGCCUCUGGUUGUAGGAGGCAGGGUGGUGGUUCUUCCAGGAGGAAAACCACCUCAGAUGAAGCAGUCUCCCAUGAUUCCCACAUGGACCUGGUGGUGCAGUGAGUGUGCUGCUGUGCUCUGUGUUCUUGUCUGUGUGUCAGUCCCAGCACAGGGAGGGGCUCCUCCAGGCAAGAGAGGUGACUCUGGAGCUGGUCUAGGUGCAUGCAGGGCCCUGGCACUGGUUCCCCCCCAGCAUGGCCACCUUCCUCUGGGACACCACUUUGGGAAAUGUGUUGUUUCCCAUCUUUUCCUUGCCAGCUCUCAGCAGUUUCUGUGCGUGCCCACCAGAGAGCAACCCCAGCACAGGGUUGUUGUCUCCAGAGAGAUAGAUUGUAGGGCUGAGUGUGAGGUUAAAUCCAUCUUUCCUCACCCUUUCCAGCCCUAUCACCUCAUCCCAAACCUGAGCUGAGCAGUGAGUUCAGGCCCUCUAUGUCCUGGGCAAGAGGAGUAUCCCACAGGGAAGGAAGGACAUGCUGGAGGAGAGAGGCAGGAGACCCAGGCAAACACAGUGCCAUCUCUGGGAAAGGACCAUGCCAUGAAUUAGCAAGGGAUAUCUAUCCAGGAUGUACAGGAAACAAGGGUUCAGACAGAGGUGAACUAUUUGGAUGGCCAAAAAUCUGGUGCUUUUUGCAGUUUCCUGUAAGUGCAUAGACAAAUUGUACUCAUCUUGGAGAAGCACAGAGUCAUUUAGUCUGGAAAAGACCUUUAGGAACCUGGAGCCCAACAGACAUCUCAGUGGGUAUCUUUGAUGCUUGAACAGGUAGCUGGGUAUCUUGGUGGGGUUUUCUGUGUGAGACUCUGUCCCAGCGUUUGGGGAAGGAACAAAGCCAUGUUUUUCAUGUCUCCUCAGGCUUUAUGAGGUCAUCUCAGCCUCUGGGCUGGCAAGAAGUCCCAGGGUAGGCAGCUGGGCUUGGAGGUUGGGGUUCAACUGUGCAACAUCAAAUACCUUAAUUGAGCUGCCUGGGUCAGGAGGGAGGGGUGGGUAAGACUGGCCUUUCCUGGGAUAGACACAGCGCAAGGGACUGAAUCUCCUGCAGGAAGGACCUGUCCCUCCCCUCUGCUUGCUCUGAGCCGUAGGAGCAGCAUUCACAGGCCAGUGGUGGUGCCAAGAUCUGUGGCACUGCUGAGCUGCAGCCCCAGUGCCUGCAGAAAUGGGCUUUGAGAGAAAGCUGAGGGAAGAAACAACUGCUUGCUAUUUUUAUCCUUGCACCAGCCCCCGGGGAUUUCGAUUGACAGGAUUAGUUAUGAAGCCAAUAUUAUGAGUUUAACUAUGAGUGAAAUAACACAACUUCUGUGGGAAGCAGAGUAAAAGAGGCAAUUAUACAGUAGUUUAAUAACAGCGCACUGCUGGCUGGGUAGCUGAAAACUUACAGUUGACAGUAAUUAGAUUUUUCCAUUCUUCCUGUUAAAUAGCUAUAAAAAUUACAACAAAAAAUAAUCUGAUUCUCUUUUAUUUCGUGCUGUUUUCAUCAUCCAGUCGGUAUCCAUUUGGCCUCCUGAUUGUUCUUUGUAUGGUUUUAGUAUCUGGUAUUUAAGACAUGCAGAAAUGGGACAGUGUUAAAAUGCAGAAAGCAUUAGGAAUGAGGGAAUGGCAGUAACACUCUUCUGAGCAUGAGGAAUCCAGGGGAUGCUUGAAUGGACAGUGAGAGCUUUCCAAAUUGACUAACUCUGAAUAACAGUUGGACUUCUAACCGCAGGAGUUAUUCCAAAUCAUUUAAAAUUACAGUAAAAAAAUGAGAUGUUAGGAAUGAAAUCCCCAUUUACCUGUCUGUUACUAUAAUGUGCCAGAUGUAGAUAAGCAGGAGGGAUGGAGGGAGGUGCUGUGGCACAUGAGUCUGCACUGGUUGCUUGCUGCCUUCAUCUCCCUGCUGGGAUGGAAGUCCAUGCUGUGAUGUCAUUCUGGGCUUUACUCCCACCUUGGGCUCCGUGCUGGGAUAGGAGUGUGACUACUGGGGGUGUUUGUUGGCUGGCAAAGAGCUGGACUUGGACAAAAAUCAUGAGGUCCCUCAGAUCUGCAAUGCAUCUUCUCUUCCCAGUCUUUGCUGCUCUUCCAUAGCCCUGCAGUGCUGGGAUUUGUGCCCCGUGGUGCUGGGUCUGUACAGGCAUCUCAUGUCCCUGUUGUUCAUAUCCCAAGUGAUGCUUCUUUGUCUGCUGCCCUCCUUUCAAGCACUGUCCUUUUUUUUUCCCCCUCGGUGUCUAGACAGCAGUAAGUUUUCUCUUAUGGCAUAAAAAUGUGAAUUACUUUAGAAAUAUACAGUUGUUAAACUUGCAGGGUGAAACUUAAUGAGCCAACAAAUGUGUGUCAUUUGGCUGCUUAUGAUCAUAGCUCAAAAGUGCAGCACAGCACAAAGGGAAGAACUCUCAAGUUUGCUCUCACCAUUGAAAGCUCAGGAUGAGAUAUUUGCUUGGAGAUUAAAAGUAUUCUUCCUUUUGCUCUCCUUUUCCUUGUAAUGUAAAAGAUCCAGGUAUGGUAAAUGGUAUCCUGGUUGUGAUGUUGUGCAGGGAAUUUAAUGUGAGGUGGUGUUUGUAGCUCUGGUGGCUGGUGGGAUCUCUGACACACAAUAAAUACAUUCUGUGGCAGCACACCCUA